rnacentral:snRNA from 1 species
GGAGGUGAGAGGGAAUCUGGUUGCAUUAUCUGUCACACCAUUGAUCACCAAGGUUGAUUUAGCCAGUCUGCUUGGUGAGGUGGGUGUUCCCUUUUUCCCUCACCAUUUCUGUGUUCUUCUUUCUUGAAGCUGUGUACUUGGUUGACAAGCACACCUUUCCUCGUCUUUCCUGGUCAAGAAUCUGUGAAUAGCUAUGCUAAAGGCACCAAACAAACUCUCAAUGCCAGAUGAUACCUUUGCUGGCGUUUGGCACUGUGUGUGUGUGCACGCACGCAUGUGUGUAUUACUAGAGAUUGAAUCCAGGGGUGCUCUACAAUGAGGCAGAAGCCUUUCU